UUUCUACUCCCUCCGUCCGAAAAUACUUGUCAUCAAAAUGGAUAAAAAGAGAUGUAUCUAAAACUAAAAUACGUCUAGAUACAUUUCCUUUUAUCCAUUUUGAUGACAAGUAUUUCUGGA
rfam:Triticum aestivum genome assembly, contig: Triticum_aestivum_CS42_TGACv1_scaffold_313314_4AS